AAAAAUAAAACCCAAGUUUCCCUCAUAUAUAUUUUGUUCGUUUAAAAAGAGUACAGGUAUAUAUAUUAUUAAAAACUAUACGCAGUUCGGUGCAGUAUUUAAUGUGAUGUUUACGUGUUUUAGUACAAGUUGUAAUAAUAUUUUUCAAACAAAAAUUCCCGGUUUUGGUCGGACUGUGUUAAAAGCGCAACUGUCUUAUAUUAUAACGUUAAUAUUAUAUUUGAAAAGAAAAAUGGUAGAGGGAUUGAGUUAAUACCCGUGAAAACGACCGGAAAAAAAUCUUCGAGGGUGGAAGAGAGUAAUCUGCGGAUAUGAAUAAGACCCGGAGAAAUCUACGGUGGUGACACAACCGGUGUGGUUCCCAUAAUGUCCUCGAAUAAUAAAAUAAAAUUCUCAUUUACCGAUACGUCGUCGGGUCGGCCAGUUUCAUAUUAUCUGAGCGCACGGCGUAUUACUUGGACCGUUUGUUGUCCUUUUAGACAUCCGUCGUGAUAUUGGCCAUCCUCAAUUAGAUCAAUUAACACAAAAUACGUACCUACAAUUAAUUUACGUUACAGGACUGGAGUUUUUUUAAGGCAGGUUAAUAUUAUCUAAAAGAAGCAGUAUUUGUACAAUUAUGCAAUGUGGAAAAGUUUCUUAUGAAUACGAGUAUCAAAAAAUCACAGUUUUGAGCACACACUAUAUACUGACUCACCGGUUGAAGAUUAAUUUCCAUAAUUUAAUACAGCGAAUAUUUCCGUCCGAGCUAGAGCUUUGAAAUUUGGAAUAUAGAUAUAAGAUAUUAAAUUGAAGGUGACAGUUACGAGAAAAAUCGAUAAUAUAAUUCAACUUGAUGGGAAAAGGAAGAGGAAAUACCAACGUCUAUAGAGUACCCAUAAUAUCUGAACCGGCACUGUCAAACACAUAUUGAUAGCCUAUAGUAUAAUAGCAAAUAACGUUUGAUUUUAUAAGUAACCGAACAAAAAGUUAUGGGAUCCCACUAAAACCAUAAACAUGAAAAAGUGGUCGAUAAGCCCGGUAAGUACGAAGAAUAAGCGAAAUUGUAAGUUUCGCAAAAAAAAGAUUUCAUGUUCAAGUAGGUAACAGCUAGGUUUAAAUAGUUGAAAAAAAAAUUUCGCUGGCUUAUUACUGAAUUUUAAUGUCGGCUAGUUAUAU